rnacentral:rRNA from 1 species
ACAGUCACACAUUAGAUACCCCUGUAGUCCAGGGUGUAAACGCUGCGGGCUUGGUGUUGGGGGUCCUUUGAGGGCGCCCAGUGCCGGAGAGAAGUUGUUAAGCCUGCUGCUUGGGGAGUACGUCCGCAAGGAUGAAACUUAAAGGAAUUGGCGGGGGAGCACCGCAACGGGAGGAGCGUGCGGUUCAAUUGGAUUCAACGCCGGACAACUCACCAGGAGCGACGGUUACAUGAAGGCCAGGCUGAUGACCUUGCCUGAUUUUCCG